rnacentral:rRNA from 1 species
AACGAACGCUGGCGGCGUGCCUAACACAUGCAAGUCGAACGAAACCUUCGGGUCUAGUGGCGCACGGGUGCGUAAGAAGUGGGAACCUGCACUUAGGUACGGUAUACCUCCCCGAAGGAGGUGUUCAUAAAGGUUAGUGUAUUAGCACCUAAGAUUUAUCGCUUUUGGAUGGGCCCGCGUUAGUUUAGGUGGUUGGUAGGGUACAAGCCUACCAAUGCGACGAUCCAUAGCUGGUGUGUGAGGAUGCUCAGCCACACUGGGACUGAGACACGGCCCAGACUCCUACGGGAGGCAGCAGUGGGGAAUAUUGGACAAGGGACGAAAGCCUAAUCCAGCAAUGCCGCGGGAGUGAUGAAGGCCUUAGUGUUGUAAAUCUCUUUUACCCGGGAUGAUAAUGACAGUACCGGGAGAAUAAGCUCCGGCUAACUCCGUG